UGCUGUAACUACAAGCUCGAGGUGUUUUCCGCAGCGUUUCUGUACCCGAGGAAGAUGCGCAUGUGAGUCCGUUACGAAGUUGUUCGUACGGUCGUCGUCGUCGGAGAGAUCGUAGACGAGGAAGAAGACGAUCCCCUUUGGCGAGGCUCGAGAAAAAAACUUUGAGAGAGACGAGGUAUACACGCGCGUACGACUAUGUCGUGCGCGCGUGUGAUUUUUUUUUUAUGGCAAUUCGACGCUUCGAGAAUAGAGAAAAGAGAGUGUUGGUCAUCCCAUGCCUCUUCGUCGUCUAUCGCUGGACCGCGCAUCCUAACGUCGCGCCGGUCGUCCAGUCCCCGAACACACACACCCACCCGACGGUACGUCUCGCUCGCUUUUUCACUUGCGUGAGUUCCCGUACCGGGAACCGCUGGAAUCGUCGAGAGAAGAGAAACGGCUGUAGGAGAAAAAGAGGACGGACGUUAAAAACCGGACGAUCGUUACACGGAUGUCUUGCGUGAGUCUUAGCUCGAACAUGAUACGACGAACGAAGUUUGGCACUUUGGCGAGAUGCAUAAAACGCUCGUACAUACAUACAUACAUAUAUAUUAGAGUGUUCUCCUUCUAUUCGAAUUUUUUUUCUC